rnacentral:rRNA from 1 species
UACCAAGUUGAUAAGGGCGUACGGUGGAUGCCUUGGCGCUAGGAGCCGACGAAGGACGUGGCAGGCUGCGAAAAGCCCCGGGGAGGAGCCAAACAUCCAUUGAUCCGGGGAUGUCCGAAUGGGGAAACCCACCAGUGGUAAUGCGCUGGUACCCAGGUCUGAACACAUAGGGCCUGUGGAGGGAACCGGGUGAACUGAAACAUCUAAGUAACCCGAGGAAGAGAAAGUAAAUAACGAGUCCCUGAGUAGCGGCGAGCGAAACGGGAUCAGCCCAAACCUUUGUGGUGUUAAAGCCUGGUGGCGUUGCCACAGAGGGGUCGUGGGACCCAUCCGAUCCGGCACCAGACGGAUCAGGGAGUUACAAAGUCAGCGGUUAGCCGAACUUUCUGGAAAGUUAGGCCAAAGAAGGUAAUAGCCCUGUAGGUGAAAGCCGACUGACCUCCCGAUGGUGUUCCCAAGUAACACGGAGCCCGAGGAAUUCCGUGUGAAUUUGCGAGGCCCACCUCGUAAGGCUAACUACUACCUAGCGACCGAUAGUGAACCAGUACCGUGAGGGAAAGGUGAAAAGUACCCCGGGAGGGGAGUGAAAUAGUACCUGAAACCGUGCGCUUACAAGCAGUCGGAGGAUCCGCGCAUAGAGCUUUCGGGCUCUUUGCGCGUCUGACGGCGUGCCUUUUGAAGAAUGAGCCGGCGAGUUACCGAUGUGUGGCGAGGUUAAGACGAGAGUCGUAGCCGCAGGGAAACCGAGUCUGAAUAGGGCGAUCUAGUCGCAUGUCGUAGACCCGAAGCCGGGUGAUCUAUCCAUGGGCAGGCUGAAGCGAGGGUAAGACCUCGUGGAGGGCCGAACCCACCAGGGUUGAAAACCUGGGGGAUGACCUGUGGAUAGGGGUGAAAGGCCAAUCAAACCCGGUGAUAGCUGGUUCUCCCCGAAAUGCAUUUAGGUGCAGCGUCACGCGUUCAGUAUCGGUGGUAGAGCACUGGAUGGGCUAGGGGGCCAACAAGCUUACCGAACUCAACCAAACUCCGAAUGCCGAAACUCCAGAGCGUGGCAGUGAGACUGCGGGGGAUAAGCUCCGUAGUCGAGAGGGAAACAGCCCAGAUCGACAGCUAAGGUCCCUAAAUCUUCGCUAAGUGGAAAAGGAUGUGGAGUUGCACAGACAGCCAGGAGGUUGGCUUAGAAGCAGCCACCCUUGAAAGAGUGCGUAACAGCUCACUGGUCGAGUGGUUCCGCGCCGACAAUGUAGCGGGGCUAAGCGAAGUACCGAAGCUUCGGGAUCGUGUGCCUUCGGGCGCAUGAUCGGUAGGGGAGCGUUGUAACAACUGCGAAGCUUCGCCGUAAGGCGGGGUGGAGUGGUUACAAGUGCGAAUGCCGGCAUGAGUAGCGAAAAGGAAGCGAGAAACUUCCUCGCCGUAUGUCCAAGGGUUCCUGGGGAAGGUUAAUCCGCCCAGGGUAAGUCGGGACCUAAGCCGAGGCCGAGAGGCGUAGGCGAUGGCCAACUGGUUGAUAUUCCAGUACCACCACACGCGCGCCCAAACCAAUACACCUUGCUAAGGGAAGCCCUUCGGGGCCUACCGACCCAGGUGUGGCGGUUAGCAAAGGGGUGACGGAGGAGGGUAGUCAGACCCACGCGUUGGUCGACGUGGGGUAAGCAUGUAGGGAGGCCCCUUAGGCAAAUCCGGGGGGCCGUUAAUCCUGAGAUGCGAUGCCGAGGCGCUUGAGCCGAAGCUGAUGAGCCCAUGCUCCCGAGAAAAGCCUCUAGCCAGUUCGUGUGGUGCCCGUACCCCAAACCGACUCAGGUGGACAGGUAGAGCAUACCGAGGCGAUCGAGAGAACCCUGGUUAAGGAACUCGGCAAAUUGGCCGCGUAACUUCGGGAUAAGCGGCGCCUCCUGUGGUGACGGGACUUGCUCCCCGAGCUGCGGGUGGUUGCAAAAACCAGGCCCAAGCGACUGUUUACUAAAAACACAGGUGCGUGCAAAGACGUAAGUCGCCGUAUACGCACUGACGCCUGCCCGGUGCCGGAAGGUUACGGGGAAGGGUUAACUGGGACUUCGGUCCCAGUGAAGCUCUGAACCUAAGCCCCGGUAAACGGCGGCGGUAACUAUAACCGUGGGUUGCUACCGACCGGCGGUUACAAAACUCGGCUAAAUGCUGGAACAUCCGAGCAUCCGGCACUACUCGUUCUUGUCACACACCUUUACUAGGUUGUGUGCAUGAGCAGUGACAAUGUGACCGGUGCGGAAAAUCAGCAGGGAAGGCCGCAAGCGAUUGCGGAACCCUCAGAGACUGUACGCCGAGCACUUGACGAUCCGUCAGUGAUGAGACAGUCCGAUCCUCAUGGCGACAUGGGGAGGGUGACAGAAAUGAUCACCCCGCCACUCAACUGAUUUCUUGUGAGUGGAGGUAACAGCAAUGCCUAAGGUAGCGAAAUUCCUUGUCGGGUAAGCGAUGAAUCACUUGCCCCUUGAGGGAGCGAUCCCUCAAGCAAAUCCGGCUAAUAACGGGGAACCCCUACUCGAUCUCGAGAGGGCGAUCCCGUGGGAAGUCGAGAGUCUCCGACUCUUUGACCCCGUAACGACUGAGGCGAAAGCCGAGAUGGAGUUCUGGCCGCAAGGCAAAUCUAUGGACUCCAUAAGACGCCGGCCCUUUGGAACAGGGAUCGACAUACCGUCGUACAUAUCUGGCUACGUCGACGGAGAAGGGUGCUUCUGUGUGUCACUGCGACCGCAGCCCCGAAUCCGCUUGCGUUGGGAAGUUCGACCGAGCUUCUCAGUAAGUCAGAACGGAGACCGAGCUGAACUGAUCAGAUUGCUACCGAAGCUCUUCGGUGGUGGAUCUAUCAGACCAGAUCGCUCCGACAAAACACUGAAGUUCGAGAUUCGCUCUCUUCGAACAUUGAACAGGAGCGUUAUCCCGUUCUUUGAAGUGUUUCCGCUCCUGUCUUCGAAGCGCAAGGACUUCGAAUUGUUCAGGAGGAUCUGCAUACUGAUGUCGAGUGGCAAUCACUUGAUCCCAGAGGGAUUGAUAUUGAUUGCAGAGCUGGCUCAGCAAAUGAAUGCAGGGUUGCGCAAGUACACAGCGGAGUCGAUCAAGUCCAGUUUCGAAGGUGAAGGGAUAGUCUGCGCCGCUCGAGAGAGCGGACUAACGUGAAGUUCCGACCUGCACGAAUGGCGUAACGACUUGGGCACUGUCUCAACCAGGGACUCGGCGAAAUUGCAAUACGAGUAAAGAUGCUCGUUACCCGCGGAAGGACGGAAAGACCCUAGGACCUUUACUGCAGCUUGAUAUUGGAGUUUGGGACAUUUUGCGUAGGAUAGGCGGGAGGCUUUGAAGCCGCGACUCCGGUCGUGGUGGAGCCAACCUUGAAAUACCGCCCUGAAUGUUCUGGGCUUCUAACCCGGGUCCGUAAUCCGGAUCGGGGACAUUGUCAGGUGGGUAGUUUCACUGGGGCGGUGACCUCCCAAAAUGUAACGGAGGUGUUCAAAGGUUCCCUCAUCCUGGUCGGCCAUCAGGAGUCGAGUGCAAUCGCACAAGGGAGCUUGACUGCGAGAGAGACAUCUCGAGCAGGUACGAAAGUAGGAGAUAGUGAUCCGGCGGCUCCUCGUGGUAGGGCCGUCGCUCAUCGGCUAAAAGGUACCCUAGGGAUAACAGGCUGAUCGUUCCCAAGAGUCCAUAUCGACGGAACGGUUUGGCACCUCAAUUUGGGGUGUGAGCAGCGGAAACGUUGCUCAAAGUAUCGGCUUAUAACGGCGAAACCUUCCCCGCACGCGCGAGACGUACCAGGAACGUGCGGAAAGGCAAUGCCGUGGGAAGUCUGCGGAAUGCGUAAACCAAGAUUCAAUCAAGCGCCGCAUGACCCCGUAACGACUGAGACGUAAACGUCCGGUGGAGUUCGAUGGCGAAUACGCCAAAUCUAAGAGCUCCACAACACGCCGACCCCUCGCCUUUGGUUGGGCAGGGUGGAGACAUAGUCUGCGCCGCUGGAAACAGCGGGACAACGUGCGAUGUCGGCUCGUCGCAUCCUGGGGCUGGAGCAGGUCCCAAGGGUUGGGCUGUUCGCCCAUUAAAGCGGCACGCGAGCUGGGUUUAGAACGUCGUGAGACAGUUCGGUCCCUAUCCUCCGCGGGCGUAGGAGACUUGAGGGGAUCUGUCCCUAGUACGAGAGGACCGGGACGGACGCACCGCUAGUGUGACAGUUGUUCUGCCAAGGGCACGCUGUUUAGCUACGUGCGGAUCGGAUAAGCGCUGAAAGCAUCUAAGUGCGAAGCCGGCCCCAAGAUUAGGUCUCCCACCGGGUUAACCGGGUAAGGCCCCUUGCUAGACCACAAGGUUGAUAGGCCGGAGCUGUAAGCACAGCAAUGUGUUCAGGCGACCGGUACUAAUAGGCCGAGGGCUUGGUUUC